rnacentral:rRNA from 2 species
AGUGAAGCGGCAACAGCUCAAAUUUGAAAUCUGGCCCCAGGCCCGAGUUGUAAUUUGCAGAGGAUGCUUUUGGUGCGGUGCCUUCCAAGUUCCCUAGAACGGGACGCCAGAGAGGGUGAGAGCCCCGUACAGUUGGACACCAAGCCUUUGUAAAGCUCCUUCGACGAGUCGAGUAGUUUGGGAAUGCUGCUCAAAAUGGGAGGUAUAUUUCUUCUAAAGCUAAAUACCGGCCAGAGACCGAUAGCGCACAAGUAGAGUGAUCGAAAGAUGAAAAGCACUUUGAAAAGAGGGUUAAACAGCACGUGAAAUUGUUAAAAGGGAAGCGCUUGUGACCAGACUUGCGUCCGGUGAAUCACCCAGCUCUCGCGGCUGGGGCACUUCGCCGGCUCAGGCCAGCAUCAGCUCGCUGUCGGGGACAAAAGCUUCGGGAACGUAGCUCUCUUCGGGGAGUGUUAUAGCCUGUUGCAUAAUACCCUUCGGCGGGCUGAGGUACGCGCUCCGCAAGGAUGCUGGCAUAAUGGUCAUCAGCGAC